rnacentral:RNase_P_RNA from 1 species
UGAGUCAGUUGGGUGACCGCGGCGCUUGAAGAUGCGUCGAGGAAAGUCGGGACUCCAUAGGGCAAAGUGCUAGUGAAAACUAGGUUGGGGCGACCUGACGGACAGUGCAACAGAGAGUAAACCGCCGAUGGACUAGCAAUAGUCACAGGUAAGGCUGAAACGGUGCGGUAAGAGCGCACCAGCGUGGCAGGUGACUGCAACGGCUUGGUAAACCCCACUUGGAGCAAGGCCAUGCAGGAGGCACAAACGGCUCGUUUGCCGCAAGGCAACCUCCGGGUAGGCCGCGUAGAUGGAUGGUCACACAGCGCGACUUGUGCGCGCGGACAGGAUCCCGCUUAUAGACCGACUCACCGU